ACAAUCGUUUGAGAAGCGUCACAGUAGAGCAUUUUUCUACAUGCGGAGCGGUGUUUUUAUUUGCAGGUUUCCCUUCAGUAGGAAAUUGCUGGACAGGCGGACCAGCGCACCGGAAUUGUACUGGCGAAGCCACAAGCAACUCAAAGAAUCUGUUUAAUUGUUGUACUUUGAACAAUUAUGCUUCUACAAAGGCCACAGCAGAAAAACAGCCUGAUGCCGAGUAUUUCUGUGCCACGAAGUAAUCAAGAGACAAUGCUUACGCCUAGCCACAGCAGCUCCCUCAUACAGACUCUGCAAGCCAAGAGGCCAUGGAGGCAAAUACAGCCAGCACACCUCGAACAGCCACCUUGACUGCGGGUGUGUCACCCUAGUCGCCAAGGAAACAUUUGAGGGAAAGUGACAGGCAAUGUGAACAGCCACUUCUCCAUGUAAACGAUACUCGUUCUCUCGGAUGACUCCUACGCCUCACCACGCCAGCACACUUGUGCACAAAGAUGCCGCGGAGACAAGUGCAGGUCAGAGGCAAGAAGCAGUGGCACUGAUGUCGACAUUCACCCAAUUUCUUUUUCUUACACUGAGGCAGCCAGCACACUUCAAACAGCCACCUUGACUGUGGGUGUGUCAGUAGAUUCCUGUUGUACAUAUGCUCAUAAUAAACUUCAGUAAACUUGAA
rnacentral:misc_RNA from 1 species